GAUGAUUGAUGAUGAUGAAAGAUGAUUA
rnacentral:sRNA from 1 species